rnacentral:rRNA from 1 species
AAAUUGAAGAGUUUGAUCAUGGCUCAGAUUGAACGCUGGCGGCAGGCCUAACACAUGCAAGUCGAGCGGUAGCACAGAAGAGCUUGCUCUUUGGGUGACGAGCGGCGGACGGGUGAGUAAUGUCUGGGAAACUGCCUGAUGGAGGGGGAUAACUACUGGAAACGGUAGCUAAUACCGCAUAACCUCGCAAGAGCAAAGAGGGGGACCUUUGGGCCUCUCGCCAUCAGAUGUGCCCAGAUGGGAUUAGCUAGUAGGUGAGGUAAUGGCUCACCUAGGCGACGAUCCCUAGCUGGUCUGAGAGGAUGACCAGCCACACUGGAACUGAGACACGGUCCAGACUCCUACGGGAGGCAGCAGUGGGGAAUAUUGCACAAUGGGCGCAAGCCUGAUGCAGCCAUGCCGCGUGUGUGAAGAAGGCCUUCGGGUUGUAAAGCACUUUCAGCGAGGAGGAAGGCGGUAAGGUUAAUAACCUUAUCGAUUGACGUUACUCGCAGAAGAAGCACCGGCUAACUCCGUGCCAGCAGCCGCGGUAAUACGGAGGGUGCAAGCGUUAAUCGGAAUGACUGGGCGUAAAGCGCACGCAGGCGGUCUGUUAAGUUGGAUGUGAAAUCCCCGGGCUUAACCUGGGAACUGCAUUCAAAACUGACAGGCUAGAGUCUUGUAGAGGGGGGUAGAAUUCCAGGUGUAGCGGUGAAAUGCGUAGAGAUCUGGAGGAAUACCGGUGGCGAAGGCGGCCCCCUGGACAAAGACUGACGCUCAGGUGCGAAAGCGUGGGGAGCAAACAGGAUUAGAUACCCUGGUAGUCCACGCUGUAAACGAUGUCGAUUUGGAGGUUGUGCCCUUGAGGCGUGGCUUCCGGAGCUAACGCGUUAAAUCGACCGCCUGGGGAGUACGGCCGCAAGGUUAAAACUCAAAUGAAUUGACGGGGGCCCGCACAAGCGGUGGAGCAUGUGGUUUAAUUCGAUGCAACGCGAAGAACCUUACCUACUCUUGACAUCCAGAGAAUUAGCUAGAGAUAGCUGAGUGCCUUCGGGAACUCUGAGACAGGUGCUGCAUGGCUGUCGUCAGCUCGUGUUGUGAAAUGUUGGGUUAAGUCCCGCAACGAGCGCAACCCUUAUCCUUUGUUGCCAGCGAUUCGGUCGGGAACUCAAAGGAGACUGCCGGUGAUAAACCGGAGGAAGGUGGGGAUGACGUCAAGUCAUCAUGGCCCUUACGAGUAGGGCUACACACGUGCUACAAUGGCGUAUACAAAGAGAAGCGACCUCGCGAGAGCAAGCGGACCUCAUAAAGUACGUCGUAGUCCGGAUUGGAGUCUGCAACUCGACUCCAUGAAGUCGGAAUCGCUAGUAAUCGUAGAUCAGAAUGCUACGGUGAAUACGUUCCCGGGCCUUGUACACACCGCCCGUCACACCAUGGGAGUGGGUUGCAAAAGAAGUAGGUAGCUUAACCUUCGGGAGGGCGCUUACCACUUUGUGAUUCAUGACUGGGGUGAAGUCGUAACAAGGUAACCGUAGGGGAACCUGCGGUUGGAUCACCUCCUUACCAAGAAG